UACAUUUUGUCCAAGCCACAAAAUAAGAUGAAUUAGCAUCAUGUUUGAAAAUACUUCCAUCAACAAACCCUAUUUUAUUCUUGGCAUUGAGGGUAUUUUGCAUUGCCCUUUUCCAAGGAGGGUAGUUAUCUCCAUUCAAAAUGGUAGAAACAAAUAUCAUUUUUGGAUUAUCAGAUGGGUGGAGAUAAUAUGGAGAAUUAACAACAAUGGGAGAGGAGAUCAUUCCCCC
rnacentral:lncRNA from 1 species